rnacentral:rRNA from 1 species
UAGAUAAAGGGUUAUAAAUAUAACAAUAAGCUUUUUUGCAGCUUUAUAUAAUAAAGCGAAAAAAAGUAAAGCAGUUAGAUUUAAUAAAUUUUUAUAGCAUUUAAAAAUACAAAAGACUUUUAAGGGGGCUCUAAAUAUAAAUUAUUACUAAUAUUUUUAAUAGUCAUUUAGAAAUAUCUUAAUAUAUAUUAUUAAGAGCUUUCGCUAUGGGAUGAGGCUAUAUUGUAUCAGCUAGUUGGUUAAGGUAAUGGCUUACCAAGGCUAUGACGCAUAACUGGUCUGAGAGGAUGAUCAGUCACACUGGAACUGAGACACGGUCCAGACUCCUACGGGAGGCAGCAGUAGGGAAUAUUGCUCAAUGGGGGAAACCCUGAAGCAGCAACGCCGCGUGGAGGAUGACACUUUUCGGAGCGUAAACUCCUUUUCUUUGGGAAGAAUAAGCUCAGCAGCUCCGGCUUGCCCAAAAUGACGGUACCAAAGGAAUAAGCACCGGCUAACUCCGUGCCAGCAGCCGCGGUAAUACGGAGGGUGCAAGCGUUACUGAUUCCGACUGGGCGUAUAGGACGCGUAGGUGGAUAGAUAAGUCUCUUGUGAAAUCUAGUAGCUUAACUACUAAACUGCUUGGGAAACUAUCUAUCUAGAGUAAGGGAGAGGCAGAUGGAAUCUUGGUGUAGGGGUAAAAUCCGUAGAUAUCAAGAGGAAUACUUAUUGCGAAGGCGAUCUGCUAGAACUUAACUGACACUAAUGCGUGAAAGCGUGGGGAGCAAACAGGAUUAGAUACCCUGGUAGUCCACGCCCUAAACGAUCCAUACUGGUUGUUGCUGUGCUAGUCAUGGCAGUAAUCCACCUAACGGAUUAAGUAUACCGCCUGGGGAGUACGGUCGCAAGAUUAAAACUCAAAGGAAUAGACGGGGACCCGCACAAGCGGUGGAGCAUGUGGUUUAAUUCGAAGAUACGCGAAGAACCUUACCCGGACUUGAUAUCUAACAAAUCAUCUAGAGAUAGAAGAGUGUCUGCUUGCAGAAAUGUUAAGACAGGUGCUGCACGGCUGUCGUCAGCUCGUGUCGUGAGAUGUUGGGUUAAGUCCCGCAACGAGCGCAACCCACGUGUUUAGUGUUCAAAGUUAGGCUGAGCACUCUUUUCAGACUGCCUUCGUAAGGAGGAGGAAGGUGUGUUCGACGUCAAGUCAUCAUGGCCCUUAUGUCCGGGGCGACACACGUGCUACAAUGGCAUAUACAAUAAGACGCAAUAUCGCGAGAUGGAGCAAAUCUAUAAAAUAUGUCCCAGUUCGGAUUGGAGUCUGCAACUCGACUCCAUGAAGCCGGAAUCGCUAGUAAUCGUAGAUCAGCCAUGCUACGGUGAAUACGUUCGUUAGUC